rnacentral:tRNA from 1 species
UCCCUGGUAGUUUAAUGGUUAAGACUCCAAGCUUCUGCUUUGGGGGCACAGGUUUGAUCCCUGGUUUGGGAA